UACGUAGGGUGCGAGCGUUGUCCGGAAUUAUUGGGCGUAAAGAGCUCGUAGGCGGUCUGUCGCGUCGAAUGUGAAAACCCGGGGCUCAACUCCGGGCUUGCAUUCGAUACGGGCAGGCUAGAGUUCGGUAGGGGAGUCUGGAAUUCCUGGUGUAGCGGUGAAAUGCGCAGAUAUCAGGAGGAACACCGGUGGCGAAGGCGGGUCUCUAGGCCGACACUGACGCUGAGGAGCGAAAGCGUGGGGAGCGAACAGG
rnacentral:rRNA from 1 species